UGCACUUGUUCCCAUGUCUGUAAAUUACUUCUAAAACAUAUUUGUCUUUUCUUACAAGCUUCCAGGAAGUGCAACAGGGAAACAGAUGGGGCUUAAUGAUGUGAUCAACCAUCAGAUGGUCACAGACUGCAGUGCUUAACCUACCCAGACUCCCCAAAAGCUAAUGAGGAAUCGUUGUUGACCAGUGAAGAACAGUCCUGGCAAAACAAACUUGCUGUUUUAAUUGAAUACAGAACAAGUAAAGGUUAACCAGGCCUAGAAGCUGAAGACUCAAUGUGCAUGAUGUGUCAUGGACACUGAUAGUGGCACUGGAGGAAGGAGGAAGAAGAUAGGAAGAAGUUAUAGUGCCUACGAACCAACCGAACACUUAGACUUUCUCUUACUCCUUCU